CUCGCUGCAGCCCAGCGCGUCCCCCAGCAUUGUCACCCGGCUCUCUACUCGCCGUGGGUGUGGGGGCGUCUGUCUCCAGGUCGCCCCAUCUUCCCGAGGAGAGAGCAAGUUGACAUCUUCCUUUGAUCAGGGCAAACUUCUAGUUGCUGAACUUCUGCUCUUACUCUGAGAACGACCUUCCUGGCCUCUGAAGCCCAGACACCGGACUGCAGUCUGACGCCUCGCAGAGCUGGCUCGGGCUGGGCCUCCACAGUGGCGGCGUGAACGCACCAGGUUGU